GGUUGAAGGUUGGGUAACACUAACUGGAGGACCGAACCGACUAAUGUUGAAAAAUUAGCGGAUGACCUGUGGCUGGGGGUGAAAGGCCAAUCAAACCGGGAGAUAGCUGGUUCUCCCCGAAAGCUAUUUAGGUAGCGCCUCGUGAAUUCAUCUCCGGGGGUAGAGCACUGUUUCGGCUAGGGGGCCAUCCCGGCUUACCAACCCGAUGCAAACUGCGAAUACCGGAGAAUGUUAUCACGGGAGACACACGGCGGGUGCUAACGUCCGUCGUGAAGAGGGAAACAACCCAGACCGCCAGCUAAGGUCCCAAAGUCAUGGUUAAGUGGGAAACGAUGUGGGAAGGCCCAGACAGCCAGGAUGUUGGCUUAGAAGCAGCCAUCAUUUAAAGAAAGCGUAAUAGCUCACUGGUCGAGUCGGCCUGCGCGGAAGAUGUAACGGGGCUAAACCAUGCACCGAAGCUGCGGCAGCGACGCUGAUGCGUUGUUGGGUAGGGGAGCGUUCUGUAAGCCUGCGAAGGUGGCCUGUGAGGGUUGCUGGAGGUAUCAGAAGUGCGAAUGCUGACAUAAGUAACGAUAAAGCGGGUGAAAAGCCCGCUCGCCGGAAGACCAAGGGUUCCUGUCCAACGUUAAUCGGGGCAGGGUGAGUCGACCCCUAAGGCGAGGCCGAAAGGCGUAGUCGAUGGGAAACGGGUUAAUAUUCCCGUACUUGGUGUUACUGCGAAGGGGGGACGGAGAAGGCUAUGUUGGCCGGGCGACGGUUGUCCCGGUUUAAGCGUGUAGGUGUGUGUUCCAGGUAAAUCCGGUUCACUUUAACACUGAGGCGUGAUGACGAGGCACUACGGUGCUGAAGCAACAAAUGCCCUGCUUCCAGGAAAAGCCUCUAAGCAUCAGGUAACAUCAAAUCGUACCCCAAACCGACACAGGUGGUCAGGUAGAGAAUACCAAGGCGCUUGAGAGAACUCGGGUGAAGGAACUAGGCAAAAUGGUGCCGUAACUUCGGGAGAAGGCACGCUGACACGUAGGUGAAGUGAUUUACUCAUGGAGCUGAAGUCAGUCGAAGAUACCAGCUGGCUGCAACUGUUUAUUAAAAACACAGCACUGUGCAAACACGAAAGUGGACGUAUACGGUGUGACGCCUGCCCGGUGCCGGAAGGUUAAUUGAUGGGGUCAGCGCAAGCGAAGCUCCUGAUCGAAGCCCCGGUAAACGGCGGCCGUAACUAUAACGGUCCUAAGGUAGCGAAAUUCCUUGUCGGGUAAGUUCCGACCUGCACGAAUGGCGUAAUGAUGGCCAGGCUGUCUCCACCCGAGACUCAGUGAAAUUGAACUCGCUGUGAAGAUGCAGUGUACCCGCGGCAAGACGGAAAGACCCCGUGAACCUUUACUAUAGCUUGACACUGAACAUUGAGCCUUGAUGUGUAGGAUAGGUGGGAGGCUUUGAAGUGUGGACGCCAGUCUGCAUGGAGCCGGCCUUGAAAUACCACCCUUUAAUGUUUGAUGUUCUAACGUGGACCCGUGAUCCGGGUUGCGGACAGUGUCUGGUGGGUAGUUUGACUGGGGCGGUCUCCUCCUAAAGAGUAACGGAGGAGCACGAAGGUUGGCUAAUCCUGGUCGGACAUCAGGAGGUUAGUGCAAUGGCAUAAGCCAGCUUGACUGCGAGCGUGACGGCGCGAGCAGGUGCGAAAGCAGGUCAUAGUGAUCCGGUGGUUCUGAAUGGAAGGGCCAUCGCUCAACGGAUAAAAGGUACUCCGGGGAUAACAGGCUGAUACCGCCCAAGAGUUCAUAUCGACGGCGGUGUUUGGCACCUCGAUGUCGGCUCAUCACAUCCUGGGGCUGAAGUAGGUCCCAAGGGUAUGGCUGUUCGCCAUUUAAAGUGGUACGCGAGCUGGGUUUAGAACGUCGUGAGACAGUUCGGUCCCUAUCUGCCGUGGGCGCUGGAGAACUGAGGGGGGCUGCUCCUAGUACGAGAGGACCGGAGUGGACGCAUCACUGGUGUUCGGGUUGUCAUGCCAAUGGCACUGCCCGGUAGCUAAAUGCGGAAGAGAUAAGUGCUGAAAGCAUCUAAGCACGAAACUUGCCCCGAGAUGAGUUCUCCCUGAGACUUAGAGUCUCCUGAAGGAACGUUGAAGACGACGACGUUGAUAGGCCGGGUGUGUAAGCGCAGCGAUGCGUUGAGCUAACCGGUACUAAUGAACCGUGAGGCUUAACCUUACA
rnacentral:rRNA from 1 species